GUAACACCCACGUCUCCUCCAGUCCUCGGCUGGGCUGUGUGGCUCCUGAAGAGAGCUGUGUUCUGAUUGGCUGAGUGCCGCUGACAUCACGCCACACAGAUGCUGAUUGGCUGCUGUCUGUGAGGCUCAGACAUGGGCUCCGGUGUUUAGGAGCAGACGAGGAGCUCUCGCUGCAGACCGAGACCAGGAGACCAGGAGACCAGGAGAGAGGAGGAGGUGGAGAUACUGACCUCUGCUGUGCUUCAGGCUCCGGGUCUCUGUGUCUGAUGAGGAGCUCUGGACGAGGACGAACACCAGAUCAUCACACCACGAGCUGAACCACAGCGGAGACACAGCGGAGUGACAGAGGAGACACACAGGUAACAGAAACAUGAAGUCUGAAGAACACCAGAUCAUCACACCACGAGCUGAACCACAGCGGAGACACAGCGGAGAGACACAGACCAGACCAGAAGUUUUCAGAACGCAUCAAAGACGUCAAGAUUGAUGAACAUCUUAAAAAGGGACAACUCCAGCACAGACAGAGACGACAGUGUGAUGCGCAUGAAGCUGAAGGAGGACAGGAGGAGCGAGAGGAGGAGUAUCAGAGAGCCAGAGAGAGGAUCUUCGCUGAUGUCAGAUACGGCACAGGGUUUAAACACCUUCCCGCUGGAUAAAAGGAGAAUCUGAGCGUCCCCUCGGUCACAUGAUGCUGGUCCAGCAGACCUCGCUCCUGACCCCUGCACCUCCACCGCUUCAGAGAGGAGACGUCCUGCCCUCGACGGGACAGAAACAGCUGUGACACACAUCCAUCAUCAGAGAGCAACACCUGCAUCCACUAAUGAAGAGAUGCAUGUUCUCUGAGCCAGUUCCCUGUGUCUGGACAGCUGUGACGGAUGGGUUCAGAGUCACCCGCAGCAGACAGGUUCCCAAACUGAUGGCAGAACAUGAAGCAGGCGUCAGCACGGAUGCUCCAGUAUCCGUCAGGUGAACUGCAUUCUGGGAGAUGAGUGGAGAAGUAUCAGAGACCCAAACUAUCACAGUUAUCAUCACGGGAUUGUUCAAGCGUGCUGCAGAUGUUUGAGAAGUACUGACACACACACACACACACACACACACACACAGCUGUAUGAUCACAGAGAGGUGUGCAGAUCUACACACAAGCACAGCAAACCUCAGUCUUUUUAUCACAUUUUAAAAUCCACUUUUUAUCAGAUUAAUUGCAAUUAGAUUUUUUCCUCAAACUGUACAGCUCUACUACAGCUGCUGUUUGAUUAUAUUUUAUUUUUAAGGUCUUUAACUCAUUUUUGCAGCACUGCACUAGCAACACCAAAGUCACGGGUUCGAUUCCUAUGAAUGCAUGAUCGGAUCAGAUUUCACUUUAAAUACAGUGUAAGUCACUCAAAAGAGCUGAGAGCGUUACAGUGACAUUCAACAAUAAAACAUGUAUGCACUGAUUUCCAGAACAGAUGUGGAGUGUCAUUAGAAUAAAAACAGAAACUGGACGGAAUAAUGAAUCAGAAACUACUGUAAAAACUUCUGAAUUCAGAACGGUCUUCCAUGUGUCUGCUGUCGAAUGUUCACAUAUAUUUUAAUAAUGAAUUCAGACUGAUUUCCUCCUGUGCUGAAAGAGUCUGGUCGGGUGUAAAGCGCUGUAUCUGUGCGGUCAGGAAGCGGCCGUCUCUCGGGACUGGACUUCAGUAGGUCACGCUGGAGAUGAUUUAUGAGGACAGUCGUGCAGCUGGUGUUAAUAUAACUCAGUGUUCCCGAGAGGACAGAGAUCUGACCGCAGCACAUCCUUCAUGAAGCUGCAGCACAGUACUGCUGUCUCUACAGUCUGCUUCUCUCUGUGUGUGUGUCUUCAGUUUCCUGACAGUCCAAUCAUUGCACAUGUGUUUAUCUUUGAUCAGAUGAAACGCUUGUGUUCCUGAGGGUGAUCUGUCCCUGUAAAGCACUGAUCUCAUCUCUGGUGAGAGCUGACUGUAGGUGACCGGCUCAUGUGUUCCUCUGUGAGGUUCAUGUCUCCUCCAGGAGCUGAUCCAGCGCACCACAGCACCUGCCGCUCGCAACCGUGCUCAGGUACAGCCCCAUCCUCCAGAAGACUAUUGAGGCAGUGUUCACAUCAGUCCUAUUUGAGCAUCAUUUGAGAUAUUAUUAUAGCUUUUAUAUUUAAUAUAGAGUCAGUGUUUAAGUAAUUGUGUAUCAGUCUCAUCAUCAGAGCAGGUGAUGUCCUGUCUCGUGUGUGUGUGUGUGUGUGUGUGUGUGUGUGUGUGUCGUCUGUAGAGUGUCCUUCAGUCACAGAACGUGUCUGGUGUCGCUCCUGCGGAUCGUAGCGACUCUCUCUGCUCUGAUCAUGGGGGGUAAUUUUUGUUCUUCAAGUGAAACUGGACAGAAAUGAGAAAUCAUCAAAUCAUUCUCUUAAACAAUAAGCAGAUAUUCAUAUAAGAGCUUGUAAUUAAGAGAGUGUAAUAAUCAUAGCUGACAGUAAUUCAUGCAAGCGUGAAGGAAAACCAGACUGGACUCGAGACCAGCAGCUGAUUAAUGAAGACCAGGAUAUAAUCAGAGGAGAUUCAGGCCCGGCGCCACAAGGGGGCAAAAUGGGGCAAUGCCCCCUCAGAUCUGACUUGUGCCUCCUCUGUUUCAUUUUUGUAUUCAUGGUUAAAAAUAAAAUGUUCAACCUUUUGAGUUAAAUAAUAAUUUAACCUUAUCCCCAUGGGAUUCAGAAUGUUCAGUGUUGUGACUCGUGACAUCAUCACUAACAGAUUCAAACGUCAUCGCGUUGGUUGGCGCUGAGCCAGAGACGGACGAGCUCAGCGCUGUCAUAUAUCACAACUAUGCAGUGUUUUCAACCUCAUAAUAAUUAUUUUAGAUUUCAGACAUUUAAAUACACAUAAGCACUGGUAAUACAACAGCCUACAUUUGGAGUUUGUGAAAGCAGCAAAAACAAUCUAUUCAAAUAUAAUUUGCCGACCUGUGUUUUUCAUAUCAGAUAAAUGUUAGGCUAACUAUAAAGUUUACUCUGUUGUUAUAAAGAUUUUAAACGACCAAACACACUCACUUACACUUAGAAUCGGAUAGGAUAGUUGAUGACAUGGUAAGUAAGUUUGUGAAUAUUUCGAAUAAAAAAGGAAAAACGAAAUGAAGGAUAGCCUACAUCUGUUAUACAGUGUUAUUAUUGUGACUGCGGUGUCACGUGACAAAUAUGACGCGUUGCCAUGGAAACAUUAAGGGGGAACGUUCUAAAAUAACUGUCGCCUUGAAAAAUUUUACUCUCGGGAGUCAGUCAGAAUAUUUUAAACUUCAGUGUGAAAGGGUUAAUUAUUCAUAAUAAAUGGCGCUGGCUUAUCUUUUGUGGACUGUAUGAUUUCCUGAUGUGGGUACUAAGUCACAUGGAAAAUACAGUUGUUUAAAUUUAAAGCAAGGGGCGUGGUUUUAUCCAACCCCGCGCCAUUCGGUGUCCGUCGAGCAAAUAUCUGAACGUGUGAUAUUAUCAGCAAUUCAGUUUCAGCUAAAAUGUGAAUUAACAUUAAUAUCCAACAAUGGACAUAAGAAAGUGUAUGCAGUGUAUUUCAGACCAUGAAAAGGACAGUGGAAGUGUGAUUGAGAGUACAGCUGAUGAUCAAAAUGCAGCAGCACUAUAGUGUCUUAGGACUCGUCUUCACUGCUCCUGAUGUUUCUCAGACUUAAGAGCUAGUUUAAGCACUAAAACACUUUGUGAAAUUAUUAAUAUAAAAUAUAAUUUUGACCCGUUGUGGCAAAAUGAGUCAUAACAAAAAUGUGUUAUUUUUAUUUCACAUUCUCUAUUGAAAGUUAGAGUAAGUUAGAGUAAGUAAAGUUUAUUUGUAAAGCACCUUUCACAGACAGAAGGGUCACGAAGAGCUCACAGUAAUGUAAAAACAGACCAUAAAAUAAAAUAACAACUGUACAAGUACACACCUAGUACAACUCUACAACUAUAAACUCACUAAAACUUCAUUAACAAACAAAUCAUGUUGAUAAUUAAAAGCUUGUCCAAAAACAUGAGUCUGUAAGUGUUUUUUAAAAGACUCCACAGAGCUCCUAGUUCUCACAGAUAGAGGGAACAUAAUCUAUUUUCUGAAAUAUAUACAUGCAUGUUUGUGUAUUUAUAUAUACACACAUAAUAAAUAUUCCCAGUGCACACAUAUAUUAUGUUAACAAAAACUGAUUUUGUAUGUGAUAAUCAUUUGACAACAAUUUUUUUUUUUUUUGGAGGGGGGGGGGGUCUUAAUAUUCUAAUUCAUACUAGUAAAAUAAGAAGAACAACAGUUUUGCACAUUAUAUAAAUGUUUUUUUGUUCUGAAAGGCUGUUCAGUGUUGACUGUUUAUUUCAGUUUGAGAAUCAUUAAAUGUUUAGACUGCAUGAUGUUCUUCAUCUGAAGCUGGAGUCUGUCCUGUACGCUCUGUUGUAGUUCUUCAUCUGAAGCUGGAGUGCUGUGUCACGAGUCUGUCCUGUACGCUCUGGUGUUGAUCUUCGUCAUCAGGCUUCAUGACUCUUCCUCUGAUCUCAGCUGAUGGACGUGUUCACCUCAUCCGUCUCAGGUCAUCUGAUUCUCCUCCAGUAACAUCAGAUCCUCCACCCGCUGGAGCUCAUGAUGAAGGACGGCUUCAUCUUCUUCUGGAGCUCAUCUGACUGGAUCUAUUAACACGUGAUUAAACCAACAUCUGAAGAGCUCAGCUGAGAACGAGCUCCAUCUCUGUGUCCAGCUUCUGUUCAUUCAGCAGUCACUGAGGUUCUUAUCAGAAAACCUGCACCGUCCAGUCCUUCUCUCUUAUAUUACUCUGAAGAGGUGCAGUUACGCUGUAUUUCUGGCUAGAAACAUCAGAGUCAGAGCAGAAUAUUUCACACCAAGAUCUCUCUCAUCUGAUCAAAACUGCUGCAGUAUGAGCAGAAUACACAGAGAGCCAGCUUCUGACAGCAUUCACAUUAUACUAAAAAGAUUUUAAUAUUUCACUGUCAAAAUAUUUUCAUGUAGAUUUCAGUGCUGUUUUAGUAUUAUUCAUAUUCAAUUAUCAUUUCUUUUAAUAUUUAAAGUUAGAUUUAAAAAAAUAUAUAAAAUAAAAUGUUUUUGUAUCCAAAUUUAAUUUUUAUUCUUUAUUAUUAUUAUUAUUAUUAUUAUUAUUAUUAUUUUUAUUAUUAAUUUUUUUACUUUUAUUUUAGUACUUAAACUUCACUGAAAAUGGCAAAUGUUGCCUUGGAAACUAGCUGACAUAAAAUUAGUAUGUUUUUUAAAUAUUUUAUUUCAUUUAAUUUAUUUCAAGUAGGGUUUUUUGGUUUUGGUUUUAGUUACUAAUAAUUACUUCAGCCAUGAAUUAGUCAGAAAUCUGGGUGUUAUAUACAUAUUUCCAAUGUUACACAAACUGCAUUCUUCCAUCUUAGAAACAUUGCCAAGCUACGAAACAUGUUAUCUGUUUCUGAUGCAGAAAAGCUAGUUCAUGCAUUCAUGACCUCUAGACUGUACUAUUGUAAUGCACUUCUAGGUGGUUGUCCUGCUUCGUCAAUAAACAAGCUACAGGUUCAAUUUAGCAAAUGAAAAUAGUCCAGAGCCACAGCAGAACUGUUGAGUUUCUCUGAUUCUUUACUUGAUGAUUAAACAUGUGAAUGAAUCGAGUGAA